ACUGCCAGUGUGUGUUAUGUCCAGACAACCACCUUGUGGAAACCCAGAGAAAGCUGCAAAAUAGAAACGAGCCUGUGAAUCGGCUUUCAUCAUUGGCACCAAAGUCCCGCCACUCUCGGGUAAUAAAGGACACGAAGAUCAAUCCUGAGGGAGAAGACUCCAGUUCCAGAAUGUCCCUUUGUCCAGAAACAGCUGUGUGGAAUUCAAGACUAUCCAAGGAUGGAAAGAUCACAGGAUCUCUUUCUUUCAUUGUCUACUUGUUCGUCUGGGCACCACACUGUGCUUCUGCCAUCUACGGAGCUGCCCACCACCGUGAAGGCGUGAGGCCUUAGGUUAAAGAUUUAUUCUUUUCUGCAGAGGCUCAAGGUGGCUGUUAACUCUCUCCUUGCCUUUCUUUCAUUAAAAAGAUUUAUAUUAAUACCAUUUGGAAAUCUACAGACAUAAGAGUAUAUAAAUCACGUACGGACAAUUUAAAGAGCAAUAAAGCAAAUGACACCUGUGUACCCAUCUCUAACUUUAAGAAAUAAAUUCUACUUCUUCUUUCAGGGG
rnacentral:lncRNA from 1 species